UCUCGCCGCACUCCACCUCGAUGCACGGCUCCCCGUUGUCAAAGAAGGGCUGGAAAUCCGGGAUGGAGGAAAAGCGCUCCAGCAUCAGGAUGGAGCAGGUUCCCUAUACUGGGGUGCAAAGGGGCAGUGGGGUGCACUAUAACAGGAAGACUGAUGAGGACCGAUGUGCUAUGAUGGAAUAAGCGAUCAAGAAAAGAAAACAAUCAGAAAUGAUCAAUUUCCAGCAUUUUACAUUAAAUAUGCCCAACAAGUCUUGCAAGGUCGCCUCCAUAAAAUUACCUUGACAGUAUCACACCAGCUACGGGAAGCAGAUGUUUGUCCCUGAAACAUGCUAUUGAAUUGCCCUGAGUUUACUGAAAGACAGGAGCAAGACCAGUCCAAUAACCAUGACACCGCUUCCCGAGCCAAUCAAGCUUCUGCCUGCCCCAGAGGACAUCAGGCUGUCUAACAGCCAAGACUCUGGGCUUUUUAUCUUUUGUUGCAUGCCAGGUGUAGCCCUGCCAUGUGAUGCUCUGUGUUCACUGCAGCAUGCGAGCAGCCCAGCAGUGCUGCCGGAGUCACGCUCAGUGGGAUCGGUACUGGAGGUAAUGCUAGCCUCAGGCCAGACUGCUUCAUUAUGGGAGAUAUUUUGACAGCCGGGCAGUAAGAGCAACAGCAGGCAGGGCACAAGUGGGACUUCUGGGGAAGGGGUGUGGAGACAUGGAGAAGGGUUCUGCUGUUCAACCUCACACACACACGGGAAUGCUGGGUUUGACCCUUUUCAAUCCAAUUGAGACAGCGGUAAAUCUUUUACACCAAUUUAUUGGAAUGAAAAAGAAUCACUGAUGGAUACAAUGAGAUUUUUUCCUUUCCUGUUUUCUGAAAGAGGGUCAACGCUGACAUGAGGUUACUGCACCAACCUGAACCUGUACACUGCAAACGCCCCCGUCUAACACACGUCACUCUGAUUGUGCAUUUCGCGUGCUUUCCCAAGAACAGCCUGGUACAACAUGUGUGGCAUAAGGAGAUCUCGCCUCAUCAAGCUCUCUUCACACAACACCUCCUCCAAAUUCGCCUUCCCUAGAAAAGUCAUCUGUAAGCCAGGAGACUUAACCCAAAGACUUAGGCACUCCCAGCUCUGAGAGAAUAAAGUGGAGGAGGGAGGGCAGUGAUUUAUGUGAAAGCCACAGAUAUUAUCUCUAAACUAUCUGCUCCCUCCCUCUAAAUAUCCAAUAACUCCCCAGGCAGGGCAUGCAUUUCCCCCCCUCACCCUCCCGGAUAGUUUGCAUUAUCAUUUACUAGGUAUACUGACCUAUGUCAGUAGCUUUGAGAGCCUUGCAUGCCAUUAGACAAUGCCACACUAAGAAUUCCACAGUUACAGCACCAGAAAGUUGGGAAGUAUUGACAGCAUAGGCACGACUGCAUGGGUGCUCUGGGGCUGGAGCACCCAUGGGGAAAAAGUAGUGGGUGCUGAGGGUGCCCACCGGCUACCCUCCUAUCAGCUCCCCUCUUUCCCCCAGUGCCUCCCGCCUGCCCAGAGGCCCCACUUAUCAG